rnacentral:snoRNA from 1 species
GAGGGUCAUAUGAUGAUCAUAUGCAUAGUUCAACUGAUCUAUUUGUGAUUAUACAAAUUUUUAGUCUUUCGCUCCUAUCUGAUGACUCCU